rnacentral:misc_RNA from 1 species
AACGCAUAUUGCGCUCGAGACUUCGGUCGAGAGCAUGCCUGUCUCAGCGUCGGCUCACCCCUCGCCCACCCUUUCCACUGGAAAGGUGCCUGGACGGACGUGGCCGUCUCGAUCGGAUUUUGGAAACAAAAUCCACGAUCGGGUCGGCUGAAGUGCAGGGCCCGCGGCGCGACCCGGACAAGAGGGCGCCAGCAUGGUAGGUGGCUUUCGAUGCUGCAUGCCGCUGUCGUCUCCCCUUGGCCCGAUCACCAGUGUCGCAUCCAAUCGUCCGCUCGGCCAACAAGCAGGAACCGUCGGGGCCGCCGGCUAUGCAAAUAAUCGGCGGCGCCGCCAUUCAAACCUUCGACCUGAGAUCAGACAAGACCACCCGCUGAACUUAA